rnacentral:rRNA from 1 species
UCUGGUUUUUUAGGGCACACGGUGGAUGCCUUGGCAUGCUGAGCCGAUGAAGGACGUGGGAGGCUGCGUUAAGCCUCGGGGAGUUGUCAACCGAGCGUUGAUCCGAGGAUGUCCGAAUGGGGAAACCCGGCCAUGGUUAUGUGUGGUCACCUGCAACUGAAGACUUGUGUAUAGGUUGUGUGGAGGUAACGCGGGGAAGUGAAACAUCUCAGUACCCGUAGGAGAAGAAAACAAGAGUGAUUCCGCUAGUAGUGGCGAGCGAACGUGGAUUUUUGGCUAAACCGUGAUUGUGUGUGAUACCCGGCAGGGGUUGCAUGAUCCGGGGUUGUGGGGUUUAUAACGUCUGUUAUCUGCCGGUGACGGGUCUGUUGUUGGUGCUGUUAGUGGAAGUGGUGUGGAAACGCCUGCCGUAGAGGGUGAGAGUCCCGUACAUGAAAGCAGUUGCCUGAUGGAUGGUUAUUUGUCCCCGAGUAGCAGCGGGCUCGUGGAAUCUGCUGUGAAUCUGCCGGGACCACCCGGUAAGCCUGAAUACUCAGUGUGACCGAUAGCGGAUUGAGUACCGUGAGGGAAUGGUGAAAAGUACCCCGGGAGGGGAGUGAAAGAGUACCUGAAACCGUGUGUCUACAAUCCGUCAGAGCCCUUUUUUGGGGUGAUGGCGUGCCUUUUGAAGAAUGAGCCUGCGAGUCAGCGGCAUGUCGCGAGGUUAACCCGGUUUGUGGGGUAGUCGUAGCGAAAGCGAAUACUAACGAGUGUGUUGUAGUGGCAUGUCCUGGACCCGAAGCGGAGUGAUCUACCCAUGGCCAGUGUGAAGCAGCGGUAAGACGCUGUGGAGGCGCGAACCCACUUAGGUUGAAAACUGAGGGGAUGAGUUGUGGGUAGGGGUGAAAGGCCAAUCAAACUUCGUGAUAGCUGGUUCUCCCCGAAAUGCAUUUAGGUGCAGCGCUACGCGUGUUUGCCGGAGGUAGAGCUACUGGUUGGUUUAGCGGGACUAUCAUCUUAGCGACAUCAGCUAAACUCCGAAUGCCGGUGAAACGGUUCGUGUAGUAGUGAGACUGCGGGGGAUAAGCUUCGUAGUCGAGAGGGAAACAGCCCAGAUCGCCGGUUAAGGCCCCUAAGGGUGUGCUAAGUGGAAAAGGAUGUGGGAUCGCCCAGACAGCCAGGAGGUUGGCUUAGAAGCAGCCAUCCUUGAAAGAGUGCGUAAUAGCUCACUGGUCGAGUGGUUCCGCGCCGACAAUGUAGUGGGGCUCAAGCACACCGCCGAAACCGCGGCAGCAGCAUCUUGUUUAGGGUGUUGUUGGGUAGGGGAGCGUCGUAUGCUGCGUUGAAGCUGCCGGGUGACCGUGUGGUGGAGUGUAUACGAGUGAGAAUGCAGGCAUGAGUAGCGAAUGACGGGUGGAAAACCCGUCCGCCGGAUGAUCAAGGGUUCCUGGGUGAAGCUAAUCUUCCCAGGGUGAGUCGGGACCUAAGGCGAGGCCGACAGGCGUAGUCGAUGGAUAACGGGUUGAUAUUCCCGUACCCGUGUGUAUGCGAAAAGUGGUGACGCGAUGAUACUAACUGCCCGUCGCAUCCUUCACGUCAGUCUUUUUAGGCUGGUGGUUGUGGUGUGUUCGCGUAGGACCUGAGUUGUUGGUAGCCAAGUGAUGGGGUGACGCAGAGUGGUAGCCGAGCCAACGGUUGGAAGUGUUGGUGUAAGCGUGCAGCCCGUGGGAUAGGGAAAUCCGUUCCGCAUUGUAUGGGUGAGGCGUGAUGCAGACCCACAUGUUGUGGGGGAGUCGGUGUGCCUGUGCUGUCGAGAAAAGCCUCUAGCGAGUGUAUGCAUGGCCCGUACCCCAAACCGACACAGGUGAUCAGGUAGAAGAUACUAAGGCGAUCGAGAGAACUGUGGUUAAGGAACUCGGCAAAAUGCCCCCGUAACUUCGGGAGAAGGGGGGCCGCUACGGGUGCCACUGCCUUGCGUGGUGGUUGCGUGUGGUGGCCGCAGAGAAUAGAGGGAAGCGACUGUUUACUAAAAACACAGGUCCGUGCGAAGACGAUAAGUCGAUGUAUACGGACUGACGCCUGCCCGGUGCUGGAAGGUUAAGAGGACCUGUUAGAUCUGUUUGGGUCGAAGCGGAGAAUUUAAGCCCCAGUAAACGGCGGUGGUAACUAUAACCAUCCUAAGGUAGCGAAAUUCCUUGUCGGGUAAGUUCCGACCUGCACGAAUGGCGUAACGACUUCCCUGCUGUCUCAACCACAGACUCGGCGAAAUUGCAGUACGAGUAAAGAUGCUCGUUACGCGCGGCAGGACGAAAAGACCCCGGGACCUUUACUAUAGCUUGGUAUUGGUGCUUGCUACGGUUUGUGUAGGAUAGGUGGGAGAUGUUGAUCGCAUGACGCUAGUUGUGUGGGAGUCGUAAUGUGAAAUACCACUCUGAUCGUAGUGGGUAUCUAACUUCGGCCCGUGAUCCGGGUCAGGGACAGUGCCUGGUGGGUAGUUUAACUGGGGCGGUUGCCUCCUAAAGAGUAACGGAGGCGCCCAAAGGUUUCCUCAGCCUGGUCUGUAAUCAGGUGGUGAGUGUAAGUGCACAAGGGAGCUUGACUGUGAGACUGACAGGUCGAGCAGGUACGAAAGUAGGGACUAGUGAUCCGGCACCGGCUUGUGGAAGCGGUGUCGCUCAACGGAUAAAAGGUACCCCGGGGAUAACAGGCUGAUCUUCCCCAAGAGUCCAUAUCGACGGGAUGGUUUGGCACCUCGAUGGCGGCUCGUCGCAUCCUGGGGCUGGAGUAGGUCCCAAGGGUUGGGCUGUUCGCCCAUUAAAGCGGCACGCGAGCUGGGUUUAGAACGUCGUGAGACAGUUCGGUCUCUAUCCGCCGCGCGCGUUGAAACGUGAGGAAGGCUGUCCCUAGUACGAGAGGACCGGGACGGACGUACCUCUGGUGUGCCAGUUGUUUCGCCAGGAGCAUUGCUGGUUGGCUACGUACGGGAGGGAUAACCGCUGAAAGCAUCUAAGCGGGAAGCCUGUUUCGAGAUAACGUUUCGUUUGAGGUGUCCGGGAGAUGACCGGGUUGAUAGGCCAGGGUUGUAAGCGCUGUGAGGUGUUGAGAUGACUGGUACUAAUUCACCGAUACCAAACACAA